rnacentral:tRNA from 1 species
GGAAAUACCACAUCUCAAUGGUAGGGCAUCUGCUUGGCAUGCAGAACAUCCCAGGUCCAAACCCUGGCAUCUCCA